rnacentral:rRNA from 1 species
UCCCAGCGGUCCAAGUCGCAGCCACAAUUAUUGGGUCUAAAACAUCCGUAGCUUGUUUCGUAAGUAUCUUGUUAAAUCAUACAUCUAAAGUGUAUGGCAGGCAAGGUAUACUGCGGAACUGGAGACCGGAAGACGUAUUGAGUACGGUUAAGGUAGCGGUAAAAUGCUCUAAUCUUGACCGGACUAACAAGAGCGAAGGCACAAUACGAUGACGGAUCUGACAGUGAGGGAUGAAGGCUAGGGGCGCAAAAUGG